rnacentral:rRNA from 1 species
AUGAUUAGAGACAAUCUGAAGAAAGAGAUAUCUCCAUUGCUUGGUCUUUGCAUCCAGGCACCAAGAACAUCUCGUGCAAGUUUGAUAAAAGGAUCUCGUUCUCAAGCAAAUGCCUUGGCCCAACAAACUCUGAUCGCACAUUGGCAGAGUAUUGUGAAAAUAUUAACAAACGACCUGAAUGUUUUGAAAGCCAAUUAUGUCCCUUCAUUUUUAACCAGCAAGGUGUUCACUCAGAUAUUUUCGUUUAUUAAUGUCCAGCUGUUCAAUAGUCUGCUUCUCCAACGCGAGUGCUGUUCAUUUAGCAAGGAGAAUAUGUCAAAGCUGGAUUGA